rnacentral:pre_miRNA from 7 species
GUCUCCGAAAGUGGGAAGUGGGCAGCAAGUACUGUAAGACCCCCUUUCGGGGACCCCCACUCUAGUCUCGGGAGUGUGAGAGCACCCAAAGAAACACGAGGACCC